GACGAACGCUGGCGGCGUGCUUAACACAUGCAAGUCGAACGGAAAGGCCCUGCUUCUGUGGGGUGCUCGAGUGGCGAACGGGUGAGUAACACGUGAGUAACCUGCCCUCCAUUUUGGGAUAAAUUCAGGAAACUGGGGAUAAUAACGGAUAGGAGCUCCCCCUGCAUGGCAGGGGUUGGAAAGUUUCGGCGGUUGGGGAUGGACUCGCGGCUUAUCAGCUUGUUGGUGGGGUAGUGGCUUACCAAGGCUUUGACGGGUCGCCGGCCUGCGAGGGUGACAGGCCACAGUGGGACUGAGAUACCGGCCAGACGCAUACGGGAGGCAGCAGUGAGAGAUAUUGCACACUGGGCGGAGGCAGGAUGCAGCGACGCCGCGUUCGGGAUGACGGCCUUCCGGUUGGAAACCGCUUUCGCCUGUGACGAAGCGUGAGUGACGGUAAUGGAUAAAGAAGCACCGGCUAACUACGUG
rnacentral:rRNA from 1 species